AAGUUCAUAUUAAAAAAACAAUUCUGGAAAUGUUUAGAAUAUCCUAAAUUAGGAAGGUUAUUUGUAGCCCUGGCAGAUCAAAAACAGAAAGGGAUAGCGGUAUAUGUUAAAAAAGAAAUUAAGGCAGUAGAAAAAUAUGGGUGAUGUAUGGG